UACGGAGGGUGCGAGCGUUGUCCGGAAUCAUUGGGCGUAAAGGGCGCGUAGGUGGCCCGGUCAGUUCGUGGUGAAAGCGCGGGGCUCAACCCUGCGUCGGCCAUGAAUACUGCCGCGGCUGGAGCACUGUAGAGGCAGGCGGAAUUCCGGGUGUAGCGGUGGAAUGCGUAGAGAUCCGGAAGAACACCGGUGGCGAAGGCGGCCUGACUGGGCCAGUUGCUGGACACUGAGGCGCGACAGCGUGGGGAGCAAACAGGG
rnacentral:rRNA from 1 species